GGAGCAGUGGCAUUGAUUGUAGCAGUCUCAGCUAUGGCAGCAGCAGCAACAUCGAGGCAGGACUCCUCCUUGCAUGCUUAUCCUAAAGCAACAUCCGUGAUGACACUCGUGAUAGUUGCUUCAGUGGUGGCUGCAGCUCUGGAGGAUUUGCCAACACCUUACAAAACUACAGCUUCAAGAGCAGUAGCGCCAUCCUCUUUGUCACUUUCCACCUACUUGGGC
rnacentral:lncRNA from 1 species